UCUGCUCCCGCAGGAGCCUUUCCUGUACCUCCUCACUGCCGUAGCAGUGUCUGCUCCCGCAGGAGCCUUUCCCGUAUCUCCCCACUGCCACAGCAGUAUCUACUCCCGCAGGAGCCUUUCCUAUACCUCCUCACUGCCACAGCAGUGUCUGCUCCCGCAGGAGCCUUUCCCGUAUCUCCCCACUGCCGCAGAAGUGUCUGCUCCCGCAGGAGCCUUUCCUGUACCUCCUCACUGCCGCAGCAGUGUCUGCUCCCGCAGGAGCCUUUUCCGUAUCUCCCCACUGCCACAACAGUGUCUGCAUUUGGUCUCGCAGCGAGAACUUUCCCGGUAGAGCACUUACGUUUUCUCUUUAGUCCAGCGAGCAUUGGGUCUCACAGCGGACGCAGUGUGGGAAAAUCUCCCGGUCAAGCUCUCAUUUUCUCUCUUUCCUGUUUUCUCUUUCUGUCCAGCGAGCAUUUGGUCUCACAGCGGACGCAGUGAGAACUUUCCCGGUAGAGCACUUACCUUUUCUCUUCCGUCCAGCAAGCAUUGGGUCUCACAGCGGACGCAGUGUGAGAAAAUCUCCCGGUCAAGCUCUCGUUUCCCUCUUUCCCGUUUUCUCUUUCUGUCCAGUGAGCAUUUGGUCUCACAGCGGACGCAGUGAGAACUUUCCCGGUAUAGCACUUACCUUUUCUCUUCCGUCCAGCGAGCAUUGGGUCUCACAGCGGACGCAGUAUGAGAAAAUCUCCCGGUCAAGCUCUCAUUUUCCUCUUUCCUGUUUUCUCUUUUUGUACAACGAGCAUUUGGUCUCACAGCGGACGUAGUGAGAACUUCCCGGUAGAGCACUUUCGUUUUCUCUUUUGUCCAGUGAGCAUUGGGUCUCACAGCGGACGCAUGUGAGAAAAUCUCCCUGUCAAGCUCUCAUUUUCCUCUUUCCUGUUUUCUCUUUCUGUCCAGCGAGCAUUUGGUCUCACAGCGGACGCAGUGAGAACUUUCCCGGUAGAGCACUUACUUUUUCUCUUCCGUCCAGCGAGCAUUGGGUCUCACAGCGGACGCAGUGUGAGAAAAUCUCUCGGUCAAGCUCUCAUUUCCCUCUUUCCCGUUUUCUCUUUCUGUCCAGCGAGCAUUUGGUCUCACAGCGGACACAGUGAGAACUUUCCUGGUAGAGCACUUACUUUUUCUCUUUCGUCCAGCGAGCAUUGGGUCUCACAGCGGACGCAGUGUGAGAAAAUCUCCCGGUCAAGCUCUCAUUUUCCUCUUUCCUGUUUUCUCUUUCGGUCCAGCGAGCAUUGGUCUCACAGCGGAGAAAGGCACAAAUUCGCCUGAUCGGUCGCUCCAAAUUACAAUUGCUCCUCGUUGCAGGCCAGCAGGGCCUGUCAGUCCAGGUACAGUGAGCCGCCAUCACGGGCCCACUGGCCAAACAUUUAGACCCUUUCUCGAGAUGCCAGCCCGCCAAACGCGGCACUCAUUUGGGGGGGUCUUUAGUUCGGCGGCUGUCCUCUGCUCUUUAGCUUUUUGGGGGGUACUCUAGGUUCGGGCCAUUCCUGAGCUCGGAGCCCCUUCCCCGGACAGCACGCCAGAUAUGCAUUAUAAUA